GGGUUGAAAGAGGAGAAAGAGGCGAGCUCACCCAGGGGUCUCUCUCGGGCCGAGAACGAGCGGAGAGAUCGGGUCGCGGGGGAGGAUUUCGGUGAGAUUCAAACGCCCGUGACUAGUGCAGCUAGGGCUUCUGGGGUGCUAAGAACAGCAAAGGAGAGUCGCGGCGGAGUCCAAGGAGCUUUAUAGGGUCUCGCGUAAGCGAAUUGGCAAGGAAAUCUCGAUUUCCCAGGAUUGGGAUAUGGCGUGGAAGGUUUCCGGCCGAGUCCUGUUCGAAGUCGACCGGAGGAAGAAGGAAAGCAGCCACAUCGCUUACGUGUGGGCCCGUGCCAUCAGCCAAACAAGCGAGAAGGGAUGGAGUGUGCGCGCGGGCCUGGCUGCUAGGCCGAGAUGGGAAACUGGGCCGCGCCCGGCCGAGAAGAGAGGGGAGAGGGAUUUGGCUGGGUUUUUUUUUCUCUUUUUUUAUUCUCUUUUAUAUUUUCUAAAGCCUUUUCCAAAAGGAGUUUUAAAUACAAUUAACUUCAGACCAAAAGCAAUCAACACAAAAUAAAGUAUGUCCAAGCAUGAAUGCACAAAAUCAUGUUACUAAGCUUAUGAUAAAUUUUAAUUUCCAUAAAAAUUAUUUAAGUGCUAAAUUUAAAUGCUCACAAAAAAUACUCAAUUAAAUCAAAUUAAUUCCUAUUAAUUGAAAUCAAAUUUUUGGGUGUUACAGUACCAAUGUCUAGCUUUUCCUGUUAAAGAGAAUGGAAAGAGCUUCCAUUUAAGGGUCUCAUCGGACAUGCCUUCUAUGCGAACGAGGUCACAGACUCGAUAAAACUCUCUUAGGUGUGUGUAUGGGUUUUCCUCACCUUCUCCUGAGAAAGGUUGUUUUUGAACAAAUUCUAUGUAUUCGGGGUCUAUCUCAAAACUAGAUGCUAUGAUAGGCUUUGAAGAUUUUGGUGGUUCGAGAUGUGUGCCCGAAGGUCUAUGAAAUUCAUAGAUAGACAUGUUUGAAUUCAUGAUAGACCAGAGAUCAAGGAUUAGAUAAGAAGAAAGAAUAGCAGAGAUGAUGCAAAGGAUAAAAGGAAAUAUAUUUUUUUAUUUUUUAGAAAAUGAUUAAGCUAGUUCGUAGUCAACUCAGCAACCGUUUCCCCGGUAAUGGUGCCAAAAAUGCUUGUUGACACUUGCUAACACCACAUCAAUACUAGGUUGUCAUCCCCAGCAUGGCACUAGAGUGUACUAUGGUAUUUAUACGCACACAGAUAAAUCCGCAAGCGCACGUAUACCAUUGUAGCUUUUACCCGGUUAAAGGUUUUAUCGUAUCCACACGGAAACGGGAGAACUGAUAUAUGCUCUAACUUAACCUAGAUAGAUAGGUAGGUGUAAAUAUGAACGAUGGUAGAAUUGAAUAAGAACAAUAUUAAAGGUAAGAUAACAAUGGGUGAUAAUAUGGGGUUAGAGAGUAGAGAAAUCUAGUAUAUGGGCGAUGGUAGGAGAAUAGAGAGGAUAACUAUCGUUUCACUACUUCAUAGGGGUAUGUCUAUGUCUGGGAUGAACCACGUGAUAAGAAUACACCACAAAGGAUGCUUAUCCAUAGGCCGAUAAACCCUAUCAGUCCUGCUAACAGGAGGUGGACUACAGGGGACCAACGUAACUGUCACCUACGCGGCCAACCACACAAUCCGGCUAGAUAGGGGAUAUCCACAAGUAAUCUAGGUCUAAGCACCACGCUUACACCUAUACCACAACUCUCACCUAUAGCGUCCUAUAGAUUAAAGUACUCAAAAGAGUUGUGAACCAGAACAUACAUGGAUAGUAAUUGCAUAACGAAAUAGAAGUAGAUUACAAGAGUCAUCCCAUGAGCAAGCUUGAUUAGAGCUUGAUCAUGGCAAAGUACAACUGGUGGAAGAACCGACAGGCCGGCCUCUCCUCCAAUCCUCCCUCGCUCUCCAUCUCGCUACUAUCUAGAUCUACUCUAGUUUAGAGAAGAGAGGAGAGCUCUCAUCUCCAAACCCUAGCUUUUGCUCUGUGUUGACACUAGCUAACACCACUUGAAUACUAGGUUGUCAUCCCUACCAUGGCACUAGAGUGUACUAUGGUAUUUAUACGCACAUAGAUAAUCCGCAAGCGCACGGAUACCGUUGAAGCUUUUACUCGGUUAAAGGUUUUAUCGUAUCCACAGGGAAACGGGAGAACUGAUCU
rnacentral:lncRNA from 1 species